GCCGUAGGUGAACCUGCGGAGGGAUCAUUACUGAGUUUACGCUCUACAACCCUUUGUGAACAUACCUACAACUGUUGCUUCGGCGGGUAGGGUCUCCGCGACCCUCCCGGCCUCCCGCCUCCGGGCGGGUCGGCGCCCGCCGGAGGAUAACCAAACUCUGAUUUAACGACGUUUCUUCUGAGUGGUACAAGCAAAUAAUCAAAACUUUUAACAACGGAUCUCUUGGUUCUGGCAUCGAUGAAGAACGCAGCGAAAUGCGAUAAGUAAUGUGAAUUGCAGAAUUCAGUGAAUCAUCGAAUCUUUGAACGCACAUUGCGCCCGCCAGCAUUCUGGCGGGCAUGCCUGUUCGAGCGUCAUUUCAACCCUCAAGCUCUGCUUGGUGUUGGGGCCCUACAGCCGAUGUAGGCCCUCAAAGGUAGUGGCGGACCCUCCCGGAGCCUCCUUUGCGUAGUAACUUUACGUCUCGCACUGGGAUCCGGAGGGACUCUUGCCGUAAAACCCCCCAAUUUUCCAAAGGUUGACCUCGGAUCAGGUAGGAAUACCCGCUGAACUUAAGCAUAUCAAUAAGCGGAGGC
rnacentral:rRNA from 1 species